UGGUUUUGGAAUUGCAAAAUUCAAAAUCUAAAAGAACUGUAUGAAUGCUUAAUAUAUAUUGCUUCAGGAAAAACGUUUCAAUAACCAGCUCAUACCCCGAUUGGACAAAUGGUCAACAUGUGGAGAACGAAGCCUCCCCCACAUCUCUAUACGUGUGCCAUUCCCGUGCCCCCUCUUUAGUCAUCGUUCUCGCAGUAGAAACCUUAACCUCUGAAUCAGAAAUUCCCUAUUGUCGAAUAAAUCAGUCAGAGCCUCCAUAGCAUCCAAUAGCACUUUAUUAUAACCAGGAAUAGCAAAUACAAACUAAACAUCAAAUUAAUUAAUAAGACUAACCAAUAAUUCCUUCCGGUCGUUAAAACACACGACAUGCCGUACCAUAAACGUGACUACAAACAAUCCUCAUACCACUAGUAUUUACUGUUAAAAACGUACAUUGUUUGCGAAUCCAACACUUGCCAACACAAAAUGUGAUAAAAACUUCAACCGUCACAUCCACCUCAGCAGGUCAACAGCAAGGAAGGAAGAGAAGGUACGCCACACCAUGGUAGAUUAUUUAAGUUCAUACUAAUUUACAUAAUAUAACAAAUUAUUCAAAAAAAAACAUUAGUAAUUUAAACCAACAAAAUUAUUAAUUUAACAAAAUCAAAAAGGUUAAAUAAUAAACAAAAUUAAGAAACAAAUAUUUGCAUUUUCAUUUUUUUUUUUUUUUUUGUAAAAAGUCAAAGCUAUAGGUGGACUCCUUCCCACUCACAAGAGAGUACCAAGGAGCCCAAUAGAUGUGUUUAUAAGAGUAUUUUCCUACACCCAGAAGUGGGUUAAUAAAUAAUUAAAAAUGUGGAUUUUGUGUGUGAUAAACUUUAUUGUGUAU
rnacentral:lncRNA from 1 species